UACGUAGGCACCAAGCGUUGUCCGGAUUUAUUGGGCGUAAAGAGCUCGUAGGCGGUUCGGUAAGUCCGCUGUGAAAGUCGGGGGCUCAACCCUCGAAUGCCGGUGGAUACUGUCGGACUAGAGUACGGAAGAGGCGAGUGGAAUUCCUGGUGUAGCGGUGAAAUGCGCAGAUAUCAGGAGGAACACCAAUUGCGAAGGCAGCUCGCUGGGACGUUACUGACGCUGAGACGCGAAAGCGUGGGGAGCAAACAGG
rnacentral:rRNA from 1 species